rnacentral:rRNA from 1 species
AUGGGGACGCUCCUGGCGCGCGUCGCCGUGGUUGCUCUCGCGGCGGCGGCGGCCGCUGUCGUCGUCGAUGGCCAGAUGUCGCCGGCGUUCUACGACGCCACGUGCCCGGCGCUGCAGUCCGUCGUGCGCCGCGGCAUGGCGCAGGCCGUCCAGAAGGAGGCGCGCAUGGGCGCGUCCAUCCUCCGCCUCUUCUUCCACGACUGCUUCGUCAAUGGGUGCGACGCGUCCGUCUUGCUGGACGACACGGCCAACUUCACGGGGGAGAAGAACGCGGGGCCGAACGCCAACUCGUUGCGCGGAUACGAGGUCAUCGAUGCCAUCAAGGCGCAGGUCGAGGCUUCCUGCAAGGCCACCGUCUCCUGCGCCGACAUCGUCGCGCUCGCCGCCCGCGACGCCGUCAGCCUGGUCGGUACCCACUUCUCUCUCCCUCUCUUUCUGGCAUCCUGGCCGGUGGCAUUACUAAAGGCGGCCGCGUGCGUGCAGCUCGGGGGGCCGAGCUGGACGGUGCAGCUGGGCCGGCGAGACGGGCGCUCGGCGAGCCAGAACGCGGCGAACACCAACCUGCCGCCGCCGGACGCGAGGCUCGCCGACCUCCUCACCAGGUUCAGCGACAAGGGCCUGGACGCGCGCGCCCUCACCGCGCUGUCCGGGGCGCACACCGUGGGCUGGGCCCGCUGCACCACCUUCCGCACGCACAUCUACAACGACACCGGCAACGCGGCCGUGGACGCCGCCUUCGCCACGCAGAUACGCGCCAAGGCCUGCCCUUCCGCCGGCGGCGACGGGAACCUCGCGCCGCUCGAGCUGCGCGCCCCCGCCGCAUUCGACAACGGCUACUUCCAGGACCUCGUCGCCCGCCGCGUGCUCCUGCGCUCCGACCAGGAGCUCUACGGGAGCGGCGUCGGCGACGGCAGCACGGACGCGCUCGUGAGAGCCUACGCCGCCAACGCCACGCUCUUCGCGGUAGACUUCGCCGCCGCCAUGGUGAGGAUGGGCAACCUGGCGCUCACCGGGAAGAACGGCGAAGUCCGGCUAAACUGCCGGAGAGUGAACUGA